AGCGGCGCAAAGCCUCCGCAGGGCAGUGGGGCGCCUUCAUCCCACUGCCCUCCGGGGGCUUCGCGGGCUGUCCCAGAAGCCUCCGCAGGACACAGGGAUGAAGGCUCCCCAUGCCCUGCAGAGGCUUUGCGCAAAGC